CAGCAGCCGCGGUAACACGUAGGUGGCAAGCGUUGUCCGGAAUUAUUGGGCGUAAAGGGCUCGCAGGCGGUUUCUUAAGUCUGAUGUGAAAGCCCCCGGCUCAACCGGGGAGGGUCAUUGGAAACUGGGAAACUAGAGUGCAGAAGAGGAGAGUGGAAUUCCACGUGUAGCGGUGAAAUGCGUAGAGAUGUGGAGGAACACCAGUGGCGAAGGCGACUCUCUGGUCUGUAACUGACGCUGAGGAGCGAAAGCGUGGGGAGCGAACAGGAUUAGAUACCCGGGUAGUCCCUGUCUCUUAUAC
rnacentral:rRNA from 1 species